rnacentral:rRNA from 1 species
GAGUAACACGUGGGCAAUCUGCCCUGCACUCUGGGACAAGCCCUGGAAACGGGGUCUAAUACCGGAUACUGAUCCUCGUAGGCAUCUGCGAGGUUCGAAAGCUCCGGCGGUGCAGGAUGAGCCCGCGGCCUAUCAGCUUGUUGGUGAGGUAAUGGCUCACCAAGGCGACGACGGGUAGCCGGCCUGAGAGGGCGACCGGCCACACUGGGACUGAGACACGGCCCAGACUCCUACGGGAGGCAGCAGUGGGGAAUAUUGCACAAUGGGCGAAAGCCUGAUGCAGCGACGCCGCGUGAGGGAUGACGGCCUUCGGGUUGUAAACCUCUUUCAGCAGGGAAGAAGCGAAAGUGACGGUACCUGCAGAAGAAGCGCCGGCUAACUACGUGCCAGCAGCCGCGGUAAUACGUAGGGCGCAAGCGUUGUCCGGAAUUAUUGGGCGUAAAGAGCUCGUAGGCGGCUUGUCACGUCGGUUGUGAAAGCCCGGGGCUUAACCCCGGGUCUGCAGUCGAUA